rnacentral:rRNA from 1 species
AGUGAACGCUGGCGGUAGGCCUAACACAUGCGAGUCGAACGGCAGCACAGUAAGAGCUUGCUCUUACGGGUGGCGAGUGGCGGACGGGUGAGGAAUACAUCGGAAUCUACUUUUUCGUGGGGGAUAACGUAGGGAAACUUACGCUAAUACCGCAUACGACCUACGGGUGAAAGCAGGGGAUCUUCGGACCUUUCGCGAUUGAAUGAGCUGAUGUCGGAUUAGCUAGUUGGCGGGGUAAAGGCCCACCAAGGCGACGAUCCGUAGCUGGUCUGAGAGGAUGAUCAGCCACACUGGAACUGAGACACGGUCCAGACUCCUACGGGAGGCAGCAGUGGGGAAUAUUGGACAAUGGGCGCAAGCCUGAUCCAGCCAUACCGCGUGGGUGAAGAAGGCCUUCGGGUUGUAAAGCCCUUUUGUUGGGAAAGAAAAGCAGCAGGUUAAUACCCCGCUGUUCUGACGGUACCCAAAGAAUAAGCACCGGCUAACUUCGUG